AUGGAGAAGGUCGCUGGGUUCCCGUCCGCUGGGUUCGAGAACUGGCGACAGGAGCGGAUGCCGAGAAGGUGGCGGAAGCGAGGACGCCGCGGAUGUCAACCCAGAAGGCUGAAGAGGGAGAAUAAGAAGCGGAUCUCUCACUGUGUUUUUUCUUUAGCCUUUCUUAGUCUUGGCCUUGGGUGGGGAUUACCCGUUGGCGCCGAAGGGCGUUUGGCGAAACACCUGGUUGCACAGCUAAAUCACACUGCUAAGCCCUGGAAUAAUCUUAACCAGGAGUAUACCUAUUGGGCACUAGUACGACACUUCCCCCAACCACGUCCAGUUACUUGGAAUGGGGAUCCUGUUCCCCUAAUUGUGGUUUCCAAUGCAUCACUUCUUAUGGGCGAAGGGGUGGGACGGCCAGUUAUUUCCCAUCUUCAAAAUAAGACCAUUAUUAUGAGGAGUCCCACACUACCCAUUUGCCUCAGCAAAGGUACCCAUGCCGGUUGUGCUCGAGUAGAAAAUGAUACUAUCACUGAGUUACCGCAUGGACCCCACGGUUGGAUAGGGAAAGGGGAUCAUUUACACUUUUAUGUAUUGCAACAUCAGCAUAGUACUAUUAGCGGGUUUUUUCCCUCUCCACUCCCUCUUUGCACCCCUUCCCCUAACAUGUUUGCAGGCUUCCAAGUCUGUUCUACAGGGCAUCAAGUAGGUGGCGAAAACGUGAAUGGGACUCAACUCUACUUUCUGGAUGGACAACCGGGUCCUUGGUUUGCGGCCCCGGUACCCCAUGUGAGAAGCCCUCGAGGAGUUAUAGCCCAUGUACAUCUGUGGAAACUGGCUGCUGCCUUUGGCCCCUUGAUCCACUUCACAGAUAACAGUGCACCUCUAUCUGACAACAGCACUCUUCGGAACUGGUGGUGGGACUUGUUAUUUUCAGCAGGGCGUACUUGUAAAAGCCAUGGUCAAUCAGGACACUGUAAUGAUUUUAACGUAACCAUUCAGACGACUUCUGAUCGUGACAUGUUUUGGGUCUGUCGUAAUGGCACCAUCACUCCCUCCUCUGCAGAAUAUGCUGUGCACUGCUACAACGGAUCGUUCUCCAAUACCUUACAAUCUACCGACGUAGCCUCCACGGCCAACAUGGUCCUCCUUCUUCGAGUGCCGCCUAUUACCUUUGUGCCAGUAUUAACUACACAACCUUUUGCGCAAUCACCUAUAGAGAGAUUCCUAUUGCGCCGCUAUCGGAGAGAGUUGGGAAGUUUUGACCUCAUCAACCUUGCACUAAAUAUCGCUGAAGCAUUAGAUCUUGUUCUAGUGAACCAUCAAUUGAGUCUUCUAGCACGGCAUUUGGAGGAGUUUAUGGAAGAAACCACCCAAGCAUGGACUGUGCAACAACGAUUUAAUCGUCUCCUGUUAAAUAAAGUUGAGUUCAUGGCCACAGUAUUAGCUGAUACUGUGCUGGAGGUGACUAUUGCCGAAAAGCUUUCUACUGUUGAUUGUUCAUAUGAGUUUCAACCGCCCAUGUGUGUCACUGCACUUCAUCCUAACUCCUCCAUUGAUUCUUUAAUUAAGAACUUGACUGACUUUGAGCAAAUAGAAGAUUGCCUUGGUCAAUUGGACACUAUUUUGGAGCAUAUUCGCAAUGUCACCCGUCAAACAAGGGAUAAUCUCUUCCCUGAUUCCCCUUUCGAUCAAUUUUUCAACUGGUUACAUAACCUGGGAUUUUCGCAAUUCCUUCUUUGGCUCAUUUAUGGUGCAGGCUUCCUGAUCCUUAUCUGCUUUAUGGCCCCUUGCCUUUUCUUUUGUUGGCUCCGUGUGCUGCGACGCUCUCUUGAGAACGUCAAAGCCGACCUCUCCCUCCCUAAGAAAAACCCUGUCUUUGUUUAA
ensembl:lncRNA